GCUUCGAUCGCAAACUAACAAUGGAGUGCAAUGGAAUUGGGUUUGGUAUCAAUAGGAUUGACCUGUUGGAUGUGAGAGUAAUCCAUGGAAAGUAAGACUGAUUGUUUUUUGUGUACUGUUUUUGUGUUCUUGGAUGAUGAUAUUGUGGUGCAGCGGGAUCUCACAGCAUUGUGGAAAAUUGAUAUCGAUGGGAAGGUUAAGUGAAAUUUAGUGGGCAGCUUUUAUUUUGUUAUGUGCAGGAUUCACAAUAGCUCAGCUGAAUUCCAAAUUUUCUCAACAAAAUUGGUUGGCUCAUUAAUCUGUACAAGAGAAGCAAUUUAUCUCAUGAAAUUCGAAGACGGGGAGAGCAAAAAGAAGAAAUUGAAGGCAUGGAUGCUAUUAGCUCGAGGAUGGAGGAACAAAUUAUUGA